UCCUUGGCUAAGAGGAGACUCUUCUUUUGGUCUGCAGGUGUAAUAACCUGCACUCCACUAUCUGCAUUGUCCUUCUGAGGGAGCUUGUUUCCUGGAACGCAUGGCUACAUUUGGUGCAUUGGCUGGGAAACUCCUCACUUUGAGGAGACAAGUCCCCUUUGGGACUACUCCAAGGGCUUGCAGACUGACUCUUCUAGCGGGGAGAAGGCACCUCACCCUUCUGGAAGGAUUCUGCUUCCCAACACCCGGACCUUUCAUGUUAGCAGGUAGUGGACGGCAGCAGGGGAACGGAGCACUCAGGUGAGGAGGAACUCACGUGGAGGGUGGAAGAGGGGGCUUGAUCACCCCCCUUGGAGGGACUAGAAGGGACACGGACCCACAGGCGCCUGGAAUAGGCAGGUGGCAGCGAUUGCCUGGUAUGCAGGUUAACGAGCAUGUUAGGGCUUAGUAAGGAAAUUUGCAAAUGUCAUUUAGGAGGUAGUGUCCAUGCUAUCUUGGGGAAAAUUAUUACCAAGCUAUCUCCAGGAGAUUGUUAGGAGAAAGACUUGGUCUUUGUGUGCUCGUAUUCUUCCCUCCCCAAGAAGGCGUCCCAUCUGCUGUGAAAUUCUUGACCCCCUCGGAAUUGUCAGGCUAGAAGGAGGGGGAUACAUAAGUGAGUAUGAAUUGGCUUUUCCAGAGACAGCCUGGGAUGUGGGAUAUUUAACCCAUCUGUGUUUUCAUCUGCUCCUGAUCAAGCCCACCAAGGUAGAAUGGACUUUAAAAGCUAAGGGAGAAACAGUUUUGGACCACGUGGUGUUCUGGUUCGGCUGCGCUGACCGGCAGGUGAAGACACGCUGAUCCCCCUUCUCCCUCUGAGAUCUGGCAGGUAAGGCUCCUCUCACCCCAAUUAGGAAACCCCAAUGGCAAUUUAAGUGUUUCACUGAGUGGAAAUAUCAGAAGUACAUAUGGUACCAAGAACUUCAUAGACAGAACAAAAAGGAAAAGUAGAAGACAGUCUGAGAAGGUAAGCAAGAUGGGAAGAAAUGAAUCUAAGGCAACUGUAUUGGAGUGCAGGAUUAAAAAUUUAAAGAAGGGAUGUGGAGGAGACUAUGGGGUGAAGAUGAAGCUUAACCGCCUCCACAUACUCUGUGAGGUCGAAUGGCCCCCUAUGGGAGUAGGACGGCCACCAGAGAACACCAUGAACUUAAAACUGGUGGAAGCAGUCUGUACAGUAGGAGAGCCGGGACACCCGAAUCAAUAUCCAUAUACUGACUCAUGGCUAGGGUUAGCUCAAAACCCUCCUACUUGGACAAGGUUCUGUAUCCAGAAGGGAAAGGGAAAAAUAUUAAUGGCACAAAAAUUGACUGAUGAUAAAAAAAGAAGUUCUACAGGAUUUGGACGGGGAUGACCUGACCCCUCCCCCAUACUGGAUAAUGAUGCGCCCGCCACCCAGUGCUCCACCAGGACCAGAGGCCGCCUUAAUGCCCGAUCCAGGGCCAGGUGAAGUUCCUGCAGCAGCCGCUGCUCCUCCGCCAGCUCUCCUGGAGAUCGUAGAGCCGCCGUUUCGGCAGGCUCCUAUCCCAGCGAUGGAUACCUCUGGUCAGUGCCCCCAGGAUUCUACCUCAGCUGGACCUCCUAGAUUGUAUCCACCUCUCCCAGUGAGUACUGAUGGGAAGGGGGAAGAAAACACAGGAAUUAGACAGAGGCUGUGCUCCGCCAAAGAGCAGGGGGAAAGAAGCCCACUACAGAUGCCCCUCAGAGGGUACAACAGCCUCCAGUUCAGGAUGAAUGGGGCACUACCAUCCGCCCCCCGUAGCCUAGUAUUACCAGCCAUUUUCCUCUACAGAUGUAUUAAACUGGCAGAGACACACUCCACCAUACUCAGGGGAGCCACAAGCCAUAAUUAGGCUAAUAGACACUACUUCUCGAACCCACCACCCUGCAUGGGAUGACAUAAUCCAACUACUAGUCUCCCUUUUCAGCACUGAGGAAAGACACAGGAUCCUAACUGAGGCCAGAAAAUGGUUAAGGGAAAUGGCACCUGAGGGUACUUCAAACCUGCAGCGGUGGGCAGAACCAGCCACCCCCGAUGAGAGGCCCGAUUGGGACUGUAACACAGAGGAAGGGAGGGGCCACCUGGAGAGGUAUUGGGUGACUCUUUUACAAGGCCUCACAAGGGGGGCCCGAAAACCUAUGAAUAUGGCAAAACCCUCCAAAGUGAUUCAAAGGGAAACCAAAUCACCCUCUGAGUUCUAUGAAAAACUAUGCGAGGCCUAUAGAGUUUAUACGCCAAUAGAUCCGGAGGCCACUGGGUCUCAGAUGGUGAUAAAUGCAGCCUGUGUGUAUCAAGCUUACCCUGAAAAUGUAAGAUGUGGGGCACCAAGUGACUCAUGAAUUUUUAUACAUCCCUGAAUGCCCAGUACCUUUGUUGGGAAGAGACUUGCUGUCUAAAUUGAGGGCACAAGUGGCCUUCCCCCCCCCACAAAAGACACACUCUUUGAGUGGGCUCAACCACUUAUUUACUCUCCCUCUUGGUAACCCCUCAAGAUGAAUGGGGGUUGCUCAGUCUCCCGGGAGGGAAACUGGACCUGGACUGGACCUAAAUUGUUGAGAAAGCGAGAGAGAGAGUUAACUCAACAAUUUCCUGAGGUCUGGGCAGAAGACAACCCCUCCGCCCCGGGCUUGCAAAACAAGUCCCAGUGGUAAUAGAGCUCAAACCCAAUACAAUUACAUCAGCACUCACUCGCCUGGGGCCUGCCAGACCUUGCUAAGCUGUUGACUCUGCACAGGACUGAAAAGGACAAGGUGGCUAUGGGAAUGUUGUCCCAGACUAUGGGGACAUGUGACAGACCCGUGGCUUAUCUCUUGAAACGGCCGGACAUUGUUGCCACUGGGUAGCUGGGAUGCUUACGGGCAGUUGCUGCUGUUGUCUUACUGGUCUGGGAGGCAACCAAGGUGACUUUGGGCCAAGACUUGAUCAUAAAAGUCCCGCAUGAGGUCAACACUCUCCUGUGAGGGGACCCCCAUAAAUGGCUGUCGACAUCCCAGAUUACUCAAUACCAGGGACUGUUAUGUGAGAACCCCCAUGUUACAAUUGAGGCUUGUCAGGCCCUGAAUCUAGCCACUCUCCUUCCUGUGGGAGAAGGUGGGCCCUCACAUGAUUACAAGGAAAUCCUAGAAGUUUAUGCCAACAGACCUGUCUUGAGAGACCGGCCAAUCCCAGACCCAGAUUUGGUCCUGUAAACCAAUGGCACCAGCCUGGUGAAACAAGGACAAUGACUGUUGGGAUAUGCAGUAGUCAUGGAAGAAACCAUCGCUGAGGCUAGCUCUCUGCCAUCACACUGGUCUGCUCAAUGGGCCAAACUAUAUGCUCUAAUCCGGGCCCUCCAGCUGUCGAAAGGUAAGAAGACAAACAUUGACACUGACUCCAGGUAUGCUUUUGCCACACUGCAUGUACACAGGGCUCUGUAUAAGGAGAGAGGCCUUUGACAGCUGGUGACAAAGAUAUUAAAAAUAAGGAAGACAUUCUGACCCUAUUAGAUGCUGCCUGGGAACCAGAAAAGGGGUUGCAGUCAUACACUGCUGAGGACGUCAAAAAGAGGAUACUCCCCAGGCUCUGGGAAACAGACUGACAGAUAAGACCGCUGAACAAGCAGCCGAGGGCUUGGGGGUGACAAGUGAAGCCCCUAUUAAAGCUCUCGUAUUGGCAGAGCUGCCUGACCUAACACUGGACUCUCCAAAAUACAGUGAAGCCCGAAACCAACUAGCCAAAGCGGAAGGGGCCAUCGAGACUGAAAAGGGACGGUGGGAAUUGCCAAGUGGCAAAUUAUUGGUACCAGAGGAACUGGCACCCACUCUGGACAGAAUCUCAGAGCGGCACUGCCUGCUCACAGGUCAAUGCUGCCUCUUGGCACAGACGGAAACCUCUGGGUAUUCAGCUAAAAGGCAGGCUGCCCUUUGAACACCUGGAAGUGGACUUCACUGAAACGAAACCUCACCAACACUACCUGCUGGUCAUGUUAAACUUGCAGGUGUCGCUCCCUGGAUCCACCACACGAGGGUGAAGAGAGCAUACCACGCAGACCCGGAGGACGCUGAGUGGACUACACAGAAGGACCCUGCUGAGCCCCGUGAAACCAAGAUCGUCUUAAAGAAAAAAGAGGUGAAGCUCUACAAUCAACUGCUGCUACAAGGACUUGCUGGUACCAUCGUGAGACUAACCAUAGUUUCAGUACAAAGAGAGACCUGUGCUAUAAUUAAAGUUGAAUGUUGUGUAUAUAUUCCUGAUUUGUCUGGUUAUGUAUCAGCUGCUUUAGAUGACAUGAAAAAGCAGGUAAAAGCAAUGUCAAAUGUAAACAUUCCUUUCUGGACUUCGGUCCUAUCUUGGGUGAAGGGGGAUUGGUGGAAGACUAUAUUUAGCAACGUUAGAGUUCCCUUGAUAGUUCUGCUUUGUGGACCCUGCGUUUUACAAUGUAUUAUGAACUUUGUAACUCAAAGGUUGGUGUCGUUCUCCCGAAUUGGUGGUCAGAGAGCCAGGGUCCAAUAUAUCCCUAUGAAUGAUGCUCAUACUAUCAAUUAAGAGCAUCAAGAGUGGGGAAUGAAGGAGGAAACAGACAGAGCAGGCUCCAUCUUGAAACCAGGACUCCAUCCUGGGCGGGACUGUGGACUUUGAGUUACAUGCCCAGUAUCUAUGGAAACGACAUACCAACUGGAAAACCAGACCUCCAGAAGGAAGAGCCCCAGGUCUCGUACCUAAACUCUCUGACACCUAAAAGAAUACCCUAAUUAUCUGUGAAACCAAAUAGAAUCAUACAUUCUAUUAUGCUUAAUGGGUAUGACCACAAGCCUAUUGAUAAUUGUCCACUG